rnacentral:lncRNA from 1 species
CGCAGCCCCUGCCUUACCACACCGCUCUUCGGAGGGAGGGGCAGGCAGGCAGUGCCACAGGAGCCGGGUGAAUGGAUCAGCUCAGUUAGACCCAAGAGAGCCUCAUGCUUGUCCUAGACCUCAUUUUCCCGACCCAGUGGCAUUCCAGCCACACCUGCUGAGGCCUUGGGUACCUGCGCAUCAGAGUAGCAGCUCCUCCAGCUGGCAGAGAAAGACUUGAUUUGCCACAGUUAGCGCGGCCCACUGUGGAAGCAAUCCAGGGUUCGCUCACCACCCAGCCAUGCCAGCUGAUGCUGUUUUGAUUCCCCUAACCAGGGGCAGUCACUUUUCUAGAACUUUCUGUGUCAUGAACCCUCAAGGGAGGCAGCUAAUGCAACCCUUUCCCAAAGGGCCCUCUCCUAAUACCUGCAAAUUAUAAGGACACUAUUUGACUUGAUAUUAUUUCUGGAGGAAAAUAAAAGUCAAUAAAGG